rnacentral:lncRNA from 10 species
CUUAAAGAUGUGCCAAGGUAGAUGAAGGAUUUAGAUGUGAAAUAAAUGAAUACAAAGAAGAAAAUGAAAAGUUGCACCUAUCCAAAGGAAAUCAAUUUCAACUAUUUUGUUUAGAGUGGGAAACUGUGAAAAGCUCAGAACCUGUUAAAGAGACGGUCCAGACAACUCAGAGCCCAACUCCAGUUGAAAAGGAGACAGUGGUCACAACCCAGGCAGAGGUUGCAGUGAGCCAAGAUCACACCACUGUGCUCCAGCCUGGGUAACAGAGCAAUUACUUUGUC